rnacentral:lncRNA from 1 species
AGGAAAUAAAGGGUAUUCAAUUAGGAAAAGAGGAAGUCAAAUUGUCCCUGUUUGCAGACGACAUGAUUGUAUAGCUAGAAAACCCCAUUGUCUCAGCCCAAAAAUACCAUUUGACCCAGACAUCCCAUUACUGGGUAUAUACCCAAAGGACUAUAAAUCAUGCUGCUAUAAAGACACAUGCACACGUAUGUUUAUUGCGGCACUAUUCACAAUAGCAAAGACUUGGAACCAACCCAAAUGUCCAACAAUGAUAGACUG